GGCGUCAAUGGCGAUGGAGUUCGCCCGUCCGAACAGACAAACGGCCUCUGAUGACUGAUGACUCCUGAUCCCGA
rnacentral:ncRNA from 1 species